CAAUGUCAGUGUAACGUACAGGCACGUAAAAGCACCCAUUACACUCUUGGAGUGGCUGGUAUUAGGAAGGGUAUCCAGCCAUAGAAACCAUGUCAAAUAAGACAGGAGUCUGGCGCAGCCCCUCAGCUUGCUAGCCCUGGUCAAUCCAUCCAAUCCACAACAACAUGGACAAUGGAUGUUAAAUAAUGAUGAUGAUGAUGAU